CCUACGGGAGGCAGCAGUGAGGAAUAUUGGUCAAUGGACGAGAGCCUGAACCAGCCAAGCCGCGUGAGGGAAGAAGGUACAGCGUAUCGUAAACCUCUUUUGUCAGGGAACAAAGGCGGGGACUAGUCCCCGGAUGAGGGUACCUGAAGAAAAAGCAUCGGCUAACUCCGUGCCAGCAGCCGCGGUAAUACGGAGGAUGCGAGCGUUAUCCGGAUUGAUUGGGUUUAAAGGGUGCGCAGGCGGCCUGUUAAGUCAGCGGUAAAAGCCCGGGGCUCAACCCCGGCGAGCCGUUGAAACUGGCGGGCUGGAGUGGGAGAGAAGUACGCGGAAUGCGCGGUGUAGCGGUGAAAUGCUUAGAUAUCGCGCAGAAACCCGAUUGCGAAGGCAGCGUACCGGCUCCACACUGACGCUGAGGCACGAAAGCGUGGGUAUCGAACAGGAUUAGAUACCCUUGUAGUC
rnacentral:rRNA from 1 species